rnacentral:rRNA from 1 species
GACGAACGCUGGCGGCGUGCUUAACACAUGCAAGUCGAGCGGUAAGGCCCUUUCGGGGGUACACGAGCGGCGAACGGGUGAGUAACACGUGGGUGACCUGCCCUCAGCUCUGGGAGUAAGCCUGGGAAACUGGGUCUAAUACUGGAUAUGACUCCACGGUGCAUGUCGUGGGGUGGAAAGCCUUGUGCGGCUGAGGAUGGGCCCGCGGCCUAUCAGCUUGUUGGUGGGGUGAUGGCCUACCAAGGCGACGACGGGUAGCCGGCCUGAGAGGGCGACCGGCCACACU